GCCGAGGUAGCCAAGCCCGGACAACGGCGCCGGUCUUGAAAACCGGUGGUACCUGUACCUCGGGAGUUCGAAUCUCCCCCUCGGCG
rnacentral:tRNA from 1 species